GAAAGCCGUAUUCGAUGAAAGUUGUAUGUACGGCUUGGAGGAAGAUCUUUCCUAUCUUUCGAGAUCCACCNUAC
rnacentral:ncRNA from 1 species